rnacentral:rRNA from 1 species
UACGGAAGGGGCAAGCGUUGUUCGGAAUCAUUGGGCGUAAAGGGCGCGUAGGUGGUUCUGUAUGUCUGCCGUGAAAGCGUACGGCUCAACCGUAUUUUGUCGGUAGAAACUGAAGGACUUGAGGCUGGGAGGGGCUGGUGGAAUUCCCUGUGUAGCGGUGAAAUGCGUAGAGAUGGGGGAGAACACUCGUGGCGAAGGCGGCCAGCUAGACCAGUUCUGACACUGAGGCGCGACAGCGUGGGGAGCAAACAGG